UGUUGUACAUUGUUACUUUUGCUUUUUUGUUGGUGUGUCCCGAUUGAGUGUUGAAUAUUCUUAUUUCUUAUUAUUAUAGCUUAUUGUAUUAUUUUGAAACAGAUGGACGGAAUGGAUUCUAUUAGAACCCUCUAAAGGGACCCCACAUGGCCCGAGGUCACAUUUACGUAAAUCUGCCGCAGACUACUGGAUCAUUUAUGAUAUGAAAAGAUUCUGAGAGCGUAUCGUAUGAUUUCCUUACAGAGAGAGAAGCAAAGGACCCUUUCCUUCCGUGCAAUUUUCUUUCUCCUUUCAUCUCUCUCGUUUUCUGCUCGAUUUCAGAGAAAAAAUGGCGAAUCAGCUCACGGACGACCAGAUCUCUGAGUUCAAGGAGGCCUUUAGCUUGUUUGACAAAGACGGAGAUGGUUAGAUCCCUUCGAUCUUUGCUUUCCCCCCUCUUUCUGCUGGAAAAUCUGUUGAUUUUGUGGGGAUUGUUUCAGAUCGGGUGGAUUUUUCUUUGUGAAAGUUCAUUUAUUUAUUAUUAUUAUUAUUUUUCCUUUUGUGUUGUGGAUUUUGAGCUAUUGAUUUGUUUGAAGCAUGUGAGAUCUGCAUCUUUAUCUUCUGCAGUUCUUUGAGAUGGAUUUUUAAAAAAAAAAUCUGUUUGAAUCAUGUA